rnacentral:lncRNA from 1 species
GCGCGGCAGAGAGAGAGACUCGGUGGGAGACGACACCUCGCGCGGGGAAUAAAAGAUUAGUGAAGAAAGCAGGGGCUUUUCUGAAAUUUUUGUAAAUCUCGUUUUUAUCUAGUCCUUUCCUGUCAAACCCUCGCCCUCGCUAGGCAGCCAGCAUCAGCAAUAGUACUACUACUAGUGCCAUUUCCGCCCCUGCUCUUUCAGCUAUUUCCUUUUUCUUCCCAUAAACCCUUUUGCUUGUUAGCUAAAAAAAUCUGUUAAGCUGGACUCAAGUGUAAAAGGCGCCACGCGGGAUAGGGACAAGGGGAAAAGGACAGUGUGGAGCGAGCAGUGAAGAGUAAGGGAGGGAGCAGCAAGCAACAACGGGCGGGCCACGGAACAGCGUCGCUGUUGGGUGGGCCCCGGAGGCCACGUGAAGCGCAGGCAUUGGGCCUCCCAUUGACCGGGCUAGCCUAAGCUUUAGCGCUUGAUGGCACGCAGCAGAGUCGUAACCGACAGCCAUCCGCCCCGCGACGCCAACGUGCCUGGCCCAGCUCGCGGCCCCUUCGUCCACGGCGGGCCUCCCCCGCGAGAGCAACCGCCGACGGCGACCCGCGCGUGCGCGCGCGCUCUCCCCCGUCGUCGCCGGCUCUCUCGAAUCGAGCCCUCUGGCCUCGCGCUUUCCUUGCUAUUCUCGUACGUAGUACGAGUAGUUGUUGUGCCGCCGUCGAACCUGAUGCAGAGUAGUGCUCCGGCCUCCGGUACAAGAAAGAAACAAAGAAAUCAUGUGGAGAUCGAAGCGCGGCUCUCAUGAUGCGGAGCCUUUUGGAGGCUAUAGAAUAGCCCCCUUGCGCCUGGAGAUUCUGUGGGCGGGUGCGUCGCCCUGCCAAUCGAGUGCGUUUUGGAAGAUCUGGUGACCGUGAUGAUGGGCAAUCAGGCGCGGCACGUACUCGAUCCAGUAGUGGUAGACCGUGGUGGGGGAACGAGGAAAGAUCGCCGGAGCCGUGGCCGCCGUGCCCGUGCGGAAUAUUCUGUCGGAAUGAUUACCGGCACCGGGUUAAAUAAGACUCCCGGCGUGCAUGCCGUGCUUUACCCCCACCUGAGCUGCCCCCUUCACUUGGAGAACGCUUCUAAACACCUGAUGGAACCUCGUGCCGCUGGUAUAUUGUUCGUAUGCGGCCGGGCACUUCUCCAGCUAGAUUCGCUGUUGUUUAUGCCCCUCGAAGCAGACGAUUCCUCACUGCUGAACUGUCGAAAGUCUAUAUUUUUUUGGUUUGUAACACUGCUUACAGUGUAGUGAGAGGACGGACAGCUUCAGGUGCUCUUCACGUACGUGCCCGACUCGCUGUCACGCACUGUUGGACGAUUCCGAUAAGAAUCCAUGCCGUUUCGUUUUGCUUUUCUCUACGGGGACAUGGAUUUGAUGUGCGAACGAGACAUUUGGAUCGAGAUUGAGGUGUCUUGCAGGUGGUGAAACUGUGAAUCCAUGGAUCCAGACAGAUUGAAACCUAUGGUCCAGACUUACCUGGCGGGCGACAGCUUGCAAUCAACGGCGACCCAUGACCGGGUCAGUGUGCACGUACCACCGUGCCUGCCGGUGAUCAAUGCAAGCACCCAGGGGUGCAAAAGGAAACGACAGCAACAUAUACAAGACCAAAAAAUUCCCAGCAAUUACGUUGAGAAUGGCAUAUGCGACUCACGAAAUGCUAUAAAUUGGAAGUCAUUCUUGGGCGCGUCUGUAACUUGCAAGGAAACGUUAGGGCUGAUGUUGAUGGCCUUGCGAUUUAGAAAGGAAAAUUGUCCUGCUGCUACUACAUGACAUGCAUGUAGUUGCUCCUAUAUCCACAUCACUCAAAGUUGAUUUAGCCCCUUGUCUAAUAUUCGUGGCCUAUCAUAUCAAAAUUCGUCAACGUUCGUUUCCUCUCCCUGCAUUUUUGUGGCUGCGAGCCCGCGACAGCAAUGUCCCGAAUGAGUAUGAUAGUUGACGAUAUCUGCACAUCGGGGCUUACAGACUGGCUUGAAACUGAACCUGGGAGGACCAAAACGAAAAUUAACAACCCCCAGCUCGUGAACUGCUCUGUUCCUGUUGUAAUAAAGUGAGAAAAAAACAUUUUAUUCAUACUGCACUGCCCGGGCUCUGGAUGUGAAAUACAUCAUGUGUGUGAGAACGUUGGUGGAUCGGGCCGGACGGGCCAGUGUCCACUUCCGGGUUGUGUCAACGGUAGAUCUUUUAUCCACCAUCUUCCUCAAAAAAGGACUGACCUCAGUCCUAUAAAACGAGCUCCUAGUCCUACAGGGCGCCUCAAGAGCAUCUACGGACUUGCCAAAUCCGCUACCAUAUACGCCCGCGGGCGCGUCCGUAGACAGUGACUGGGCAGUCCCCAAAUCAGCGUCCACAGCAACAUACUCCCUCCGUUACUUUUUACCCCGCAUAUAAGAUUUGGUCAAAGUCAAACGACACAAAGUUUGAUCACUUUUAUAUUGAAAAAUAUGAACAUCUACAAUACUAAAACUAUAUAGUAUGAAAAUAUGUUUCAUGGCGCAUUUGAUAAUAUUGAUUUCAUAUUGUGAAUGUUUAUAUUUUUUAAUAUAAAGUUUGUCAAACUCUACAAAGCUUGACUUUGACCAAACUUUAUAUGCAGACUAAAAGAAACGGAGGGAGUAUCUCAUAUUCGGCACCCUAUAUCCAUACAAAUCAUGCAACGUAAACUCUUACUAAGUAGAUCAUCAAACGGACAAAUUCGACAGGAAAAGGGCAUGCGACCUCACUAAUGGGCCGGCCCAAGAAAGAAGACAAGCGCUCGAUGGUUACUCUGGUUCACUCGAUUGCGUUCACUGGCCGCGAUUGAACACUUGACUCAUCAACUAUUGAAUUUUUAAAAACAGAAAAAUAAUAAAAUGAGAAAAAAAAUCAUGGAUUAAAAAAUGAUCACAAAUUUUGAAAUACAAUUGGCGAACUUAAAAAUAUACACGGUUUUGAAUAAUGUACACAAAUUUUGCAAAAAAAAUCAACGAAUUUCAAAAAAGUUCAUAGUUUUUUUAACAAAAUUGGUAAAAUUGCAAAAAAGCUCAUCAAUUUUGGAAACAAUUUCACAAAUAUUGAAAAAAAUCAUAAAAUUUAAGAAAAUGCAAAAAAAUGUAAAAGUGUGUCAAAUUUGAAAAAGUUCAUCAAAUUUGAAAAGGUUCAUCGAAUUUGAAAAAAAUUCAUAGAUUUUUAAAAAUAAUCAGAAGAACCAAAAAAAUGUCCAUCAAGUUCUUAAAAGAGUUCACCAAAUUAUAAAAAAGUUCGUGCAAUUUGAAGAAGAAAGAAGAAAAGAAAGAAAAGGUUGAAAACCCAGGUGGGAACACGAAAAAACAAGAAAAACAAAUGGUUCGGCCUGCUGAUAGGACCUAGUGUAAAGAGGUGCACCUGUACGGAUUACCUAUUAAGCACCGGUUAAGGCGUUGUUUAGGAAAUGCCUCCUGUAAACCUGCGACAAGCCCACUGCCACAAGCAAUCGCUCGUCAAGCAAGGGGGCAGACUAUGAAAGCAACAAAUUGAGACAUUUCAUAGUCUGCCCCCUUUCAUAGUCUGCCAAAGAAAAAACGCUUAAAAAACAAGCAGAACCAAAGAAAAAAAGACCACAAAAAUGGAGUAGAGCAAACCUACAACAAGUGAAUCUGACACUAAUGGGCUGGCCCGCUCGUGCUGCGCAUGACGUGACAGAAGCUACUGUCUCCCUAAAAGCAAGAAAUAGCUCUCGUGGCUAAUUCUCAAGUGUCGCGAGACAUAAGUAAGUAUGACUUCUGUUGCAGUGCUACUAGUCCAGUGCAAUACUGUAGCUGCCACGCAUGUGAAUUCAUUGCGAGCGGAUUCCUUAAUCUUUUUUCUAUUAUUUUUGCAUAGGCUUUUACGGCUUUCCCUAGGUUUCUUAGAUUUAUCUUUUUUCCUUUUCCUUUUCCUCCUCUUUUCAUUGAUUUUCUUUGCUUCUUUCUUUGGUUUUUGGCAUUUUAUCUUCAGCAAAAAAAAAUUAACACUUGUCUAAUUUUUCAUCACAUUGUAUAACUUUUGUAUACAUCAGGAACAUUUUUAAUAUAUGUUUAGUUUUUUAAUAGAUUAUUGAUAUUUAAAAAAAAAUAAAAAAAAUGGAUGCCAACUUUUUCAUACACAUUUUACAUAUUCGUAUAAAUCUCACAUAUUUUUAUAGAAGUUUAAAAAUUUGCAAAUAGAUGAUUAAUAUUUUUUCAAAUAGAUGGUUUUGAACAUUUUUUGAAAUAGAUGAUUACACAGUUUAAAACACAUUCCCUGCAAAAAUGAACAUGGGUGUACAAUGAGCACCUAAGUCUGUUAUCUCAAAAUUUCAAAAAAAAUUAAAAUUUCCUAAAAAAAAUUGUGCUAUUUUCAUAUAGGGUGCAUGCCACCCGGCUGCUCCAAUGCAUUUUCCGGAAACAAACACACAAUAGAGCUAAUAACUGAAUACAAAUAUCGCAGUAUCUUUUGAUCUGAGGGAAAAAUUAUUGAAAAAUAUAACCACGGUAUCUUGUGUAAGUAGCUUGGUAAUGUAAGCACAACAUAGUUGCUAACCUAUGUACACAGACUGUAGAACUUUUGACACAGGGAAAAAACUUGUUGGAAAACAUAUCUCAAGUAACUUAUAUAGAAAUGGUAUAGUAACAUAUGAACAUUAGAGCUGAUAACUUACUCUAGACGUGGUAACUUUUGAACGGGGGAAAAAGUUGUUGACAAACAUACGUGCGAUAACUUCUUUAUAAAUAUCAUGAUAAUCUACGCAUACUAAACCUGAUAAGUCACAUACAAACUUUACGACACUUCUCGCAAAAAAAAAACACUAUGACACCUUUUUUGACCCCGAGAUUGAAGUUGAAAAACAAUACCCACUGCAAAUUAUGUGUAAAUACCAUGGUAAUAUAUGCACAGUUCUGCUCAUAAAUUACUUAGCUCCGGCGUGAUAAUUUUUUUUCGGGAAUUUUUUAUGAAAAAAACACCACGAUAACUCAUGCGUAAAUAACAUGCUAAUACACGCACGACACGACUAUAGCUUACUUAGCCUAGGCCCUAGGCAUGACAACUUUUUGACUGAAAAAAGGCCGUUGAAGUAUAGCAGCAUGGGAUCUAGAUUCGAAGUUUUUGUCGUGAUGGAUUUUUCAAAAACAGAUUUUGAAUCAGAAAGAUGGUUUGAGCUACGAAACAGUUUGAUUUUUGAAGUAGGAAGAAUCUAGGAUGUUCAACUUUUUUCCUCUAGUAUGUAUGUAUAUGCAUGGGAGAAGGUUGAAAAGGACCAUUUUUAGGCCCAUGUAUUUUUCAGUCAACAUGGUAAAUUAUGUAUCACAGACGUGAUAACUUACAUAGCAUAGGUGUGGUAACUUUUUAAUCAAAAAGUUUCAGAACAUAUGAACAUGGGAUCUAGUUUCGAAGGUCUCGUCGCAUCAUUUUUUAUGUGAAAACUAUUUUUCAAUCGGACCGACGAUUUGAGUUACAAAACAUUUUGAUUUUGGAAAUUAGGAUUUUUAGUAAGCAUCUUCAACACGUAUAUGAAGAAGGAGAAGCACUAACGAACACAUGUAUAUGGGGUAAGCUGGUUGCAUGCACUCGUCAGGGUCGUUUUGCUUUGUUGUUUACAUUUAGAAUGAUCGCUAGGUAGUACAUUCCCUUUUUAAAUGUGCGAUGAACACUUUACAAAAAUCGCUAAAUUAAUUUUUUGUAAUACAUGUAUUUAGUAAAAAAAACAAAUAUGGACAAAAGUAAAAAAAAAAUGCAUGACAUCAGCAUGCUAAGCCCAAAUGGCUAUCGGGCUAGCCCACUACCGUCUCUCAGUAGGCCACCGCACAUGGCUACUAGGCCAGCCCACUACCAGCUCCCCAUGGACGCGCCUCUCGAGACUGCAGCGCGACUAUGAAAACCCUAUUUGCCGCUCUCUGCGGCAAACUGUCGAGCGAUUGCAUAGAUAGGGCGACUGACCGAGCGAUUUGGGCCGGCCCAUCUGUAAUACGUAGAAGGUUUCGGUUUUAGGAAUCUUCUAGAAGUUUCCCAGCGCUUUUCUCGGUUUUGGGAACCUUUCUAGAAGGUUUCCUCAACCAGUUAAUUUAUUUUCCCUUUUUCUAUUUUAUUUUUCUCUCUGUUUCUUUUUUUCUUUUUCUGUUCCUGUUUCCUUUUCUUCUCUUUUUUUGUUUAUUUAUGUUUUUUUCGUUUCUUUUGUUAGUCAUUUUCAAAUAUUUGUUCCAAUUUAAAAAAUGUUCACGUAUUCAAAAUUUUAUUCACAAUUUUUAAAAAAGUCUGUGUUUCAAAAAACUUCCAGAAAUUUCAAAAAAAAAUCUUGAUUUCUAAAUUUGUUCACAAAUUCAGUAAUUGUUCAUGUUUCAAAAUUUGUUCUUGCUUACAAAAUUUUGUUCAUGAUUUCAAAAUAUGUUCGUGUUUGAAAAAAAAUUCAGGGAUUCCAACAAAUGUACUUGAUUUCCAAAUUUCCUUUAUCUUUUAUCCUCUUUUUUUCAAAAUAUUCAAAUUUUGUUUGUGUUUCCAUAAAGUGUUCAGUUUUCAAAAAAAUAUUCUCAAAAUUCAAAAAAUUGUUCUCGUUACACAAAAAAGUUCGAAAGUUUUGAAAUUCAUUUAAUGUACCAGAUUUUCAAUUUUUUGUUCACAUUUUCAAAAAAUGUUGGCGCUUCCAAAAAAAAUCGGUAUUUUUCAAAUAUUUUUGCCGUUUCAAAAUUUGUUCUCAAUAUUAAAAAAAUCUUCGUGCUUCAAAAAAUUGUUCGCGCUUCCAAAUUAGUUCUUUGUUUCAAAAUUUCUUCUCAAGAUUCAAAUAAAUUUUCAUGCUUUAAAAAAUUUCCGCGCUUCCAAAUUUGUUCUCAAGAUUCAAAAAAUGUUCGUGCUUUAAAAAAUGUUCAUGUUCAAAUUUUGUUCUCAAUUCCAAAAUUUUGUUCUCUAUAUUUAAUAAAGUGAUCAGGAUUUUAAGAAAUGUUAAUUUUAUCAAAACUUUGCUUUCAUAUAUUCAAAAAAUUCCAAGGUUUUUUGUUUUUCUUCUAAAGUUUGAAAAGUAUUCUCUUUCUAAAAAGCACUUUUUCAAAAAUAUGUUCGCGUUCGGAAUUAGACAAAAUGUUCGGAUCUACAUUACCUUUUAGCUUCGCGCGCCUUAGUAAACUGAAAAAGCUUAUCUAUCCCGUUGGCUAGGCUCGUGCGUACAUAGAAGGAUGUCCCUGGUUCGAUCUCUUCCUCGAGCAGUGUUUUUGGGAUUUUUUCUCUGCUUUGCGCUAAUGGGCCGGCCCAGCUGAAGACGCGCCUGUGCGUCCGCUCGACAAUUCGCUGCAACGAGGGGCGCAUAGGAUCUCUCCGCGACUAUGUCUUGCUGCAACCGAGACAGAGUCAGCUCUCGCUUAAGGCAGUGGCCUAAAUGGGCCGCCCUAGCCAUCGCGAGGCCAAUGCCUUUUUUCUUCCUGUUUGACCUUUUGUUUUCUUUCUUUUAUACUUUUAUUUAUACUUCCAAAAGUUCUUGAAUGCUAAUCAUGCAUUUAAAGAUUGUUAAAUGUGUAUAGAAAAAUAUUAAUCAUGAAAAUAUUAAUAUAUAUGUUACAAAAUAUAUAUUUUCAUAAUAUUACGAAAAUAUCAAUCAUGCAUUUAAAGAUUGUUAAAUGUGUAUAGAAAAAUAUUGACCACGUAUAGGAAAAAUAUGAAAUGGGUGUCAAAAAAGUUGAUCAUGUAUUAAAUUUUUUUAAACAAGUAUUCCAAAAUUUUAAUCAAACAUUUGAAAAAAUAUUGAAUGUGUAUAGGAAAAAUGUGGAACAUGUAUUAAAAGAUGAUGUUAACUUUUAAUCAUAUAUAUGAAAACAUUAAUCAAGUAUUUCAAAAAUGCUAAUCAAGCAUUUAAAAAUGUUAAAUGUGUAUAGAAUUUGUUUUGACCAUGCAAUAAAAAAAUUUAAUCUUCCAUUUGAAAAAUGUUGAUAAAACAUUUGAAAAAUGUUAAAUGUUCAUACAAAAAUUGUUGACCAACUAUUGACCAUGUAUUUGAAAAAUAUUAAUCAAGAAUUUGAAAAAAGUUUAAUGUGUGUAUAGAAAAAAAUGUUGAUCAUGUAUACAAAAAAUAUUAAUCUUGUAUUUGCAAAAAUAUUAAUGAACCAUUAAAAAAUGUUAAAAUCAUGUAUAGUUUUUUUUGCUAUAUUAAAAAUGUUAAACAUGUAUUAGAAAAAUGAUGUUGACAUAUACAAAAAAUGUGGAAUGAAAACCAAAAGAAACGAUGAAAAAACCCUGAAAAGAAAAAAAGUAAACCAAAAUGAAAAUAAAAAUAAAAAAUAAAAUCAAAGAAACAAAUAAAAAAGAAUGGAAACGGAAGAGAAAAGAAAAGGAACAUGCCGGAAGAAAAGAAACUUAGUGAGGCCCGGGCUCAUUUCGCCCAAUUACAACCCGCCCUGUUAGUUGAACAGAAUCUUGGCGCUAGUGCAGUAGCUAGCGCCAUUGUAUUCUAUCUCGGAGACCAUGGUUCGAAUCAGACUAGGUGCAAUGCGCCACCCAAGCGCCACGAGAGGGAGGUGAUCAACGGCCACUGUCCUCGGCCGCUCCAGGUUUAGCCCGAGGGCUUCCUCCGGCAGCGGGCACAGGGAGGAAGGAAGGAGCGACGUGUACUUAACAACUAGGAUUUGUGUGCCUCCCGAGUCGAACGUGCGGAGAACGAUGUAUAGGCUAUUUUCUCGUCUCGUCCCCUUGUGGAAGCAAUAUCAUAUACGAAUUCAUCUGCCAUUCUAAAAUGUGACAAUCAAACUAUUGCAUAUGGAGGACAAGUCAACAAUUUUUUUUCUGUCCAAUACAACCAUAGCCUGACCGGAUAACACCUUUGUAACUUUUCCUAUUGUUUCCCUUGCCUUUUCCUUCACACAUACAUCACAUGAGAAGGGAAAGGUAGUGAUACGGGGCUAACACGGUGUAGGCCGAUCUUUCAUGAUUGGAGUGGGAUCCCUCGAAGAACACAAAGAACAUGGAGAAUAACGGGGAGAAACACAAGAGAAAUCACUCAACCAACAAGAUCCGGUCACACAUAUGCUAGAUCCUCGGAACACAAAGAGUGAUACACGAUUCAAGGUCAACAAAGUACAAUACAAAAGGUCUUCUCCGUGAGGAGAUCUUGAAGGGUCUUCCCAUGAUGGGGUCUUGAAUCCGCUUGGGGGAUCUUCUCCGAAGAGGUCGUGAGCUCCGAGGAGAAGUAACCAAGUGGAUGAGCAAAGCUCUAUCUCACAUAUGAGCUAUCACAGUGGUGACCCUAGCUAGGAGGAGGUAGGGGUAUUUAUAGUCUAGGUCCAUGAAGGGGUAAGUGGGAGAGGGAUACAUGGGUCUCGGGCCCGAUCUCUAUGCGCACAUAGGCGUCGGACGUCUGACGGCCGUUGGUCGUCCGGUCGCUCGCGGGUGUCCGAUCGUCCGGAAGUCUUCAGACUUCCGAUGUUUUCGCUCUGGUCCGGUAGUGUCGGACGUUUGGUCGACGUCGGUCAUCCGGGCGCUGAUGAAUGUCGGACGUCCGGUGUCUGGCGGUCGUCCAGGUGCUGUAGGUUGCCUCGGCUGGAGUCGAUCUGGCUGGUGGAAUCUCCAGGCGUCGGACGUUCGUCGAUCGUCGGUUGUCCAGUGGCUGUCGGACGUCCGAGCGCUGUAGCUUCCCUGCAGCUCUUCCUCUUGUUCCUCCCACUUGGUGUCCUCGCCGUCUUGUCAAAUGCUCCUAGCUGAUCCAUGCCCUUCCUCUUGGUUCCUGGUCAUGCAUAACACAUACCUUUGAGGUAGUAGCCAUGUCUCAGAUGUGGAAGUGAAGGUUCAGAGAGGAGCGAGUUCACCUUGUGUCCAAUGGCAUAUGUUCGAGGUCUCGUCAUAUGUCUUCUUGGGGCUUGGAGAGUAGUCAAAGUGUACAUGGGGAUGAACAUGGGAUGCUCCGCAUCACCCCCCCCCCCUUGGGAAAGACCCGGCCUCGGAUCAUGAUCCUCAUCACCAUGGAAACGGUUGUCGUGGACGGACUUGUAGUUGGACGGAGGUGAAGGCAUGGCGCAAUCCAAGUACUCCAAGGUGUCUCCGGUAUGUGGUACAUGCAAAAUGAGCAAACACAAGCGGCACUUGGAAAUACAAUGGUUAGCGCACACAAAAUGUCCAUCAAUUAAUCGUGAGUCCGUGCGAAGAGAUAAUGCGUGACAAAGCGCAUGAAGCUUAUCAAGAUGAUAUAGAAUGAUAUGCAAAGCAUUCAUGGGAGAAAAAGCAUGGUGCACAAAGCGACAAAUUCUACCAUUGUGCAAAAUGAUGUUAUAAUGGGAUGGUGUAUCAAAAGCAUGAACAUGGCAAUGAAUGCUCAAUAUGUGUAUGUUAUCAUGCAAUUUGAUGAUGGACAAUAUGAUCAUGAUGUAUGAAUAUGCCAUCAAGAAAGAUCGCAACAAAUUUGCUAAGGAAGUGCACAAGCUCAUAUAUCAUGGAUGACAUGGGAAUACAAGAUGCAACAAGGCAAUCAUAAUGUGAUUCAAUCCAUGCAUAGGGUGCAAACUUUGUGGUGAGUAUGAUAUGUCCAUCGAGCAUGACAUGUGUGAGCACAAUCAACAAAUAUGGAGGUGUUGGUGUACCAAUGCUCAAUGUCGUGGUAUAAGUGGAGUUCUGAAGGUGCAUCCAAUAAGUGCGAGCGCUCCUUAAUGUGAAGGUCUAUAGAGCCAAUCUCCAAUGUCGCUCCUCCGUUUGCAAGAUGUAUCAUGUAGACAACAAGAAGGAAACAAUAAUAGAAGAAUGACCCAUCCAAUGUGUGUAUUUGAGGACAGCUCAAAAGUAAGGAGUUCACCUUUAUGAGGAUUUCGAAACUGUUGGUGUCGCGCAUCAUGUAGAACUUUGCAUGACCAAUAUGGCUCAUGAUGGUACCGCCUUGUGAAUCCUUCAAAAUGAAAGAACAUAACAAACACUCGGAAAAACAAAUGAGGUUAGCGGAAGUGCAAAACCUAUCGUUCGUGUGGUAAGAUACCCAACAAGUGUAUGCAUCAUGCUCAUCAUAGGAAAGGACAAGGGAAUAUUUCAUAGUAUGGAGGCUGAUACGUCUCCGUCAUCUCUAUAAUUUUUGAUUGUUCCAUGCCAAUAUUAUUCAACUUUCAUAUACUUUUGGCAACUUUUUGUAUUAUUUUUGGGACUAACAUAUUGAUCCAGUGCCCGGUGUCAGUUCCUGUCUGUUGCAUGUUUUUUGUUUCGCAGAAACCCAAUAUCAAACGGAGUCCAAACGGGAUAAAAACGGCCGGAGAUUUUUUUUGGAAUAAUUAUGAUUUUUGGGAAGUGAAAUCAACGCGAAACGGUGUCCUAGGUGGUCACGAGGUAGGGGGGCGCGCCCUACCGCCCAGGCGCGCCCCUGACCCUUGUGGUCCACCCGUAAGGCGGUUGACGUUCUCCUUUUGGCGCAAUAAAGCUAAUUUUAUGACAAAGAUCUGGGCGAAAGAUUCACCCCAAUCGGAGUUACGGAUCUCCAGAUAUAAAGGAAACGGUGAAGGGGUAGGAAAAGGGAACACAGAAACAGAGAGAUAGAUCCAAUCUCGGAGGGGCGAGAAGCCAUGGGAGCCAAGGACCAUAGGGGAAACCCUUCUGUCAUCUAGGGAGAAGGUCAGGGAAGAAGAAGAAGAAGGGGGGCUCUCUCCCCCUUGCUUAUGGUGGCGCCGGAACACCGCCGGGGGCCAUCAUCAUCACCGCGAUCUUCACCAACACCUCCAUCAUCUUCACCAACGUCUCCAUCACCUUCCCCCAUCUAUAUCCAGCGGUCCACUCUCCCGCAACCCGCUGUAUCCUCUACUUAAACAUGGUGCUUUAUGCUUCAUAUUAUUAUCCAAUGAUGUGUUGCCAUCCUAUGAUGUCUGAGUAGAUUUUUGUUGUCCUAUCGGUGGUUGAUGAAUUGCUAUGAUUGAUUUAAUUUGCUUGUUGUUAUGUUGCUGUCCUUUGGUGCCCAUCAUAUGAGCGCGCACGUGGAUCACACCAUAGGGUUAGUUGUAUGUUGAUAGGACUAUGUAUUGGAGGGCAAGAGUGACAGAAGCUUCAACCUAGCAUAGAAAUUGAUGCAUGCGGGAUUGAAGGGGGACCAAUAUAUCUUAAUGCUAUGGUUGGGUUUUACCUUAAUGAAUGUUAGUAGUUGUGGAUGCUUGCUAAUAGUUCCAAUCAUAAGUGCAUAGAAUUCCAAGUCAGGGAUGACAUGCUAGCAGUGGCCUCUCCCACAUAAUACUUGCUAUCGGUCUAGUAAAGUAGUCAAUUGCUUAGGGACAAUUCCACAACUCCUACCACCACUUUUCCACACUCGCUAUAUUUACUUUAUUGCUUCUUUAUCUAAACAGCCCCUAGUUUUUAUUUACGUGUUCGUUAUUAUCUCGCAAACCUAUCCUACAACACCUACAAAGUACUUCUAGUUUCAUACUUGUUCUAGGUAAAGCGAACAUCAAGCGUGCAUAGAGUCGUAUCAGUGGCAGAUAGGACUUGAGAGAGUAUUUGUUCUACCUUUAGCUCCUCGUUGGGUUCGACACUCUUACUUAUCGAAAGAGGCUACAACUAUCCCGUAUACUUGCGGGUCAUCAAGACCCUUUUCUGGCGCCGUUGCCGGGGAGUCAUAGCGUGGGGUGAAUAUUCUCGUGUGUGCUUGUUUGCUUUAUCAUUAAGUAAUUUUUAUUUGCUGUUCUAAGUUGUUCUCUAUCUUUAGUUAUGGAUAUGGAACGCAAAAUACCAAAAAAAUUAGCUGUACUUGCUACUCAUGAGGAUGGGGUAACUCCUAAAACCCUCGAUUCUCAUUAUGCGAAAGAUAUUGUGUACUACUUCGAUAAUCCUGAGAAAACCCCAUUCAACUUUAUAAUGGGAGACACGUUGGAUCAACGUGAAUACUUUAGGGAUUAUCGCUCGACACAAAAAGGGAAACUAUUAUGGGAUCAAUUUAUUAUGUUGCAUUGGUAUGCCUGGAAUCUAUGCUUGAGAUAUGAUAUUACUUGUUGCUCUAGGAUGGAGGAUCCACACCUUCCCUUUUCAUGCAAAUUUAAUGAUAAUGAAACCUUAGCUUCUUAUGCUAAUGGUAUAUAUGAUUACUAUGAUGUGGAACAAAUAGAAUAAUUUGUUGCUUUUAAGGCUGCUUAUGAAAUUGAAGCUUUGUUUGAAAAGUAUGAAGCUUUUGAUGAUGAUGGUUAUAGGCCUGAAAAUCUUGCUAUACUUAGAUAUUGCUAUGCAAAUUAUGAAUACAAUUACUAUAUUAAUGCAUUUAUUGAAAAAGUCUCCGUUGUCUAAGAAGAGACUAAUAUUUUGCAGGAAGCUAUGGAAGAAGAAAUUGAUGAAACUGUGAGCUCAUGGGAUGAAAAAGAUGAGGAGGAGAGCGAAGAACAAAAGGAGGAAGAGCGGAUUAGCUACCCGUGCCCACCUUCUAAUGAGAUUAACCCUCCAACUCAUACAUUAUUUAAUUUCCCUUCGUGCUUACCGAAGGAUGAUUGCUAUGAUCCCGUUGAUUCUCUUGAAAUAUCCCUUUUUGAUGAUGCUUGCUAUGCUUGUGGCCAAGAUGCCAAUAUAAAUUAUGCUUAUGGAGAUGAACUUGCUAUAGUUCCUUAUGUUAAACAUGAGAUUGUUGCUAUUGCACCCACGCAUGAUAGUCCUAUUAUCUUUUUGAAUUCUCCCGACUACGCUAUAUCGGAGAAGUUUGUGCUUAUUAAGGAUUAUAUUGAUGGGUUGCCUUUUACCGUUGCACAUGAUGAUUUUGAUAAAUAUAAUAUGCAUGUGCUUGCUGCUCCUACUUGCAAUUAUUAUGAGAGAGGAACUAUGUCUCCACCUCUCUAUGUUUCCAACACGAUAGAAUUGCAAGAAACUGUUUAUACUAUGCAUUGGCCUUUACUUGGUGUGCAUGAAUUGUUAUUUUAUGAUAUGCCGAUGCAUAGGAAGAGAGUUAGACUUUGUUGUUGCAUGAUAUAUGUUACUUUGUGCUCACUACUAAAUUACAAAUCAUUGUUAAUUAAAAUUGGCUUUGAUAUACCUUGGGAUCCGGGUGGAUCCAUUACUUGAGCACUAAAUGCCUAGCUUAAUGGCUUUAAAGAAAGCGCUGCCAGGGAGACAACCCGGAAGUUUUAGAGAGUCAUUUAUUUCUGUAGAGUGCUUUCAUAUAGUUUAAAAACAACAAAAAUAAAGAGGGGAACCCAAAACUUUUCAAAAAGAGAAGUGAAAGUGAGAGAGACGAGCAUUGUGAAAGUGGGGGACGUCCUUAAACUUUGUUCAUGCCCAUGGGAACUUUGUGAAUCUUAAUUACAGAAACUUUUCAAUAAAAAUAAUUAUCCCCUUGUACAAUUCCAUUGUAUUAUAAAAAUAAUGUGCUAAGGUUUGCCUUUAGGAUGUUUACAAUGCUUGUUGGUUUGUACGGUGCUGGACAGAAACUUUGGCUGUAGUGCGUGAUUUUACAUUUUUAUCUGGAACAUCAAUUGGUUCUGACUCCUUUUGCACUGUCAUGCUAUACAACUUGUUUAUGUUUCCUAAUUUUGGUAGAAUUUUUGGGGUACCAGAAGUAUGGUGGAUGUUCAUACUGCUACAGACUGUUAUGUUUUUGACAGAUUCUGUUUUUGAUGCAUAGUUUGCUUGUUUUGAUGAAUCUAUCAAUUUAUAUCAGUGGAUUAAGCCAUGGAAAAGUUAUAUUACAGUAGACACAAUGCAAAAUCAAAAUAUGAAUUGGUUUGCUACAGUACUUAGAGUGGUGAUUUGCUUUAUUAUACUAACGGAUCUUACCGAAUUUUCUGUUGAAGUUUUGUGUGGAUGUAGUGUCUAAUCGAGGAUGUCUCGAUAUGAGGAAAAGGAAGAGAGGCAAGAGCUCAAGCUUGGGGAUGCCCGAGGCACACCAAGUAAAUAUUCAAGAAGACUCAAGCGUCUAAGCUUGGGGAUGCUGGGGAGGCAUCCCCUCUUUCUUCAACAAGUAUCGGUAUGUUUUCGAAUUCGUUUCGUUCGUGCAUUAUGUGCAAGUCUUGGAGCAUCUUUUGCAUUUAGUUUUCACUUUUCUUUUAUGCACCAUGAUGGUAUGAGAUAGUCCUUGGUUGGUUUAUAGAAUGCUCAUUGCACCUCACUUAUAUCUUUUGAGUAUGGCUUUAUAGAAUGCUUCAUGUGCUUCAUUUAUAUCAUUUGAAGUUUGGAUUGCCUGUUUCUCUUCACAUAGAAAACCGCCAUUUGUAGAAUGCUCUUUUGCUUCACUUAUAUUUGUUAGAGCAUGGGCACAUCUUUUGUAGAAAUAAUUAAACUCUCUUGCUUCACUUAUAUCUGUUUAGAGAGAUGACAGGAAUUGGUCAUUCACAUGGUUAGUCAUAAAAUCCUACAUAAACUUGUAGAUCGCUGAAUAUGAUAUGUUUGAUUCCAUGCAAUAGUUUUGCGGUAUAAAAAUGGUGAUAUUAGAGUCAUGCUAGUGGGUGGUUGUGGAUUGUAGAGACACUUGUGUUGAGGUUUGCAAGUCCCGUAGCAUGCACGUAUGGUAACCGUUGUGUGACAAAUUUGAAGCAUGGGGUGUUUCUUUGAUUGUCUUCCUUACGAGUGGCAGUCGGGGACGAGCGAUGGUCUUUUCCUACCAAUCUAUCCCCCUAGGGGCAUGCGUAGUAGUACUUUGCUUCGAGGGCUAAUAAACUUUUGCAAUAAGUAUAUGAGUUCUUUAUGACUAAUGUGAGUCCAUGGAUUAUACGCACUUUUACCUUUCCAUCAUUGCUAGCCUCUUCGGUACCGUGCAUUUCCCUUUCUCACCUUGAGAGUUGGCGCAAACUUCGCGGGUGCAUCCAAACCCCGUGAUAUGAUACGCUCUAUCACACAUAAGCCUCAUUAUAUCUUCCUCAAAACAGCCACCAUACCUACCUAUUAUGGCAUUUCCAUAGCCAUUCCGAGAUAUAUUGCCAUGCAACUUCCAUCAUCAUCAUAUACAUGACUUGAGCAUUUAUUGUCAUAUUGCUUUGCAUGAUCGUAAGAUAGCUAGCAUGAUGUUUUCAUGUCUUGUCCAUUUUUUGAUGUCAUUGCUAUGCUAGAUCAUUGCACAUCCCUGUACACCGCUGGAGGCAUUCAUAUAGAGUCAUAUCUUUGUUCUAGAUAUCGAGUUGUAAUAUUGAGUUCUAAGUAAAUAAAAGUGUGAUGAUCAUCAUUAUUAGAACAUUGCCCCAGUGAGGAAAGGAUGAUGGAGACUGAUUCCCCCACAAGUCGGGAUGAGACUCCGGACAAAAAAAAAGAGAGAAAGGCCAAGAGAAGGCCCAAAAAAAAGAAAAAAAAGCAAACAAAAAAAUAUGAGAGAAAAAGAGAGAAGGGGCAAUGUUACUCUCCUUUUUCCACACUUGUGUUUCAAAGUAGCACCAUGUUCUUCAUAUAGAUUGUCUCCUAUGUUGUCACUUUCAUAUACUAGUGGGAAUUUUCAUUAUAGAACUUGGCUUGUAUAUUCCAACGAUGGGCUUCCUCAAAUGCCCUAGGUCUUCAUGAGCAAGCAAGUUGGAUGCACACCCACUUAGUUUCUUUUGUUGAGCUUUCAUACACUUAUAGCUCUAGUGCAUCCGUUGCAUGGCAAUCCCUACUCCUUGCAUUGACAUCAAUUGAUGGGCAUCUCCAUAGCCCAUUGAUUAGCCGCGUCGAUGUGAGACUUUCUCCCUUUUUGUCUUCUCCACAUAACCUCCAUCAUUAUAUUCUAUUCCACCUAUAGUGCUAUAUCCAUGGCUUGCACUCAUGUAUUGCGUGGGGGUUGAAAAAGCUGAAGCGAGUUAAAAAGUAUGAACCAACUGCCCGGCUCGUCAUCGGGAUUGUGCAUGAUGGGAGCAUUUUGUGUGACGAAAAUGAAGCAUGGCCAAACUGUAUGAUUUUGUAGGGAUAAGCUUGCUUUGGCCUUGUUGUUUUGAAAAGACAUGAUUGCUUUAUUGGUACGCUGAAAGUAUUAUUGUUAUUUAUGUCAAAUGAUAGACUAUUGCUUUGAAUCACUCGUAUCUUAAUAUUCAUGACAUGAUUAGACAUAUGAUCAAGAUUAUGCUAGGUAGCAUUCCACAUCAAAAAUUAUCUUUUUUAUCAUUUACCUACUCGAGGACGAGCAGGAAUUAAGCUUGGGGAUGCUGAUACGCCUCCGUCGUAUCUAUAAUUUUUGAUUGUUCCAUGCCAAUAUUAUUCAACUUUCAUAUACUUUUGGCAACUUUUUAUAUUAUUUUUGGGACUAACAUAUUGAUCCAGUACCCAGUGCCAGUUCCUGUCUGUUGCAUGUUUUUUGUUUCGCAGAAACCCAAUAUCAAACGGAGUCCAAACGGGAUAAAAACGGACGGAGAUUUUUUUUGGAAUAUUUAUGAUUUUUGGGAAGUGAAAUCAACGCGAAACGGUGUCCGAGGUGGCACGAGGUAGGGGGGCGCGCCCUACCCCCCCAGGCGCGCCCCUGACCCUCGUGGUCCACCCGUAAGGCGGUUGAUGCUCUUCUUUUGGCGCAAGAAAGCUAAUUUUGUGACAAAGAUCUGGGUGAAAGAUUCACCCCAAUCGGAGUUACGGAUCUCCAGAUAUAAAGGAAACGGUGAAGGGGUAGAAAAAGGGAACGCAGAAACAGAGAGAUAGAUCCAAUCUCGGAGGGGCUCUCACCCCUCCCAAGCCAUGGGAGCCAAGGACCAGAGGGGAAACCCUUCUCCAUCUAGGGAGAAGGUCAAGGAAGAAGAAGAAGAAGGGGGGCUCUCUCCCCCUUGCUUCCGGUGACGCCGGAACGCCGCCGGGGGCCAUCAUCAUCACUGCGAUCUUCACCGACACCUCCAUCAUCUUCACCAACGUCUCCAUCACCUUCCCCCAUAUAUAUCCAGCGGUCCACUCUCCCGCAACCCGCUGUACCGUCUACUUUAACAUGGUGCUUUAUGCUUCAUAUUAUUAUCCAAUGAUGUGUUGCCAUCCUAUGAUGUCUGAGUAGAUUUUUGUUGUCACAUCGGUGGUUGAUGAAUUGCUAUGAUUGAUUUAGUUUGCUUGUUGUUAUGUUGCUGUCCUUUGGUGCCCAUCAUAUGAGCGCGCGCGUGGAUCACACCAUAGGGUUAGUUGUAUGUUGAUAGGACUAUGUAUUGGAGGGCAAGAGUGACAGAAGCUUCAACCUAGCAUAUAAAUUGAUGCAUGCGGGAUUGAAGGGGGACCAAUAUAUCUUAAUGUUAUGGUUGGGUUUUACCUUAAUGAACGUUAGUAGUUGCGGAUGCUUGCUAAUAGUUCCAAUCAUAAGUGCAUAGAAUUCCAAGUCAGGGAUGACAUGCUAGAAGUGGCCUCUCCCACAUAAUACUUGCUAUCGGUCUAGUAAAGUAGUCAAUUGCUUAGGGACAAUUCCACAACUCCUACCACCACUUUUCCACACUCGCUAUAUUUAAUUUAUUGCUUCUUUAUCUAAACAGCCCCUAGUUUUUAUUUACGUGUUCAUUAUUAUCUCGCAAACCUAUCCUACAACACCUACAAAGUACUUUUAGUUUCAUACUUGUUCUAGGUAAAGCGAACAUCAAGCGUGCGUAGAGUUGUAUCAGUGGCAGAUAGGACUUGAGAGAGUAUUUGUUCUACCUUUAGCUCCUCGUUGGGUUCGGCACUCUUACUUAUCAAAAGAGGCUACAACUAUCAUGUAUACUUGCGGGUCAUCAGAGGCAUAUGAUGCGAGAACAACCAAAUGCAAUAGGCUCAAUAAAACAAGCACGCAUCACAAGUAAGGUGUCAAAGUCUCCAAGAUCAAUAAGCAUAGUAUGGUUGCACUCAAUACAAGUGGAUAUGAUAGAGGCAACUAAUGGACACAAGAGACUAUGAUCAAGAUAUAUCAUGUGAGAGGCAUGAACAUAUAUGUCAUCAACCCAAGAAAGCGAGUAAGAAUGGAACAUGGGUGAUGCGACAAAGCAAGCGAUCAUAGUAAACACGUCAAGCAAGCUAGUAGUGCGGAGAUGCAACAUACUAGAAGGAAUCAUGGCAAGCAUGUCAUGUGUGCAAAUAGUGGGCGUAUAUAAUGCACAUGACAUAUCACAAGCAUGAAAGCAAGAUAUGAGGAAAGUAUCAUCAAUGUAUUGGCGAGAGGCCAUAUGUAAAUAGCAAUUGGACAUCAUGACUCUCCCAACACAACAAGCAUCAAUAUCACGGGGCACGAAGAAAUCAUGGCAAUAGCUAUUAGUAUCUCCACCAAGCAUGCAAAUACACAUAGGAGUAGCAUAAUGGUGAAUCAUGGGUAGAUGCAAGCAAGGGUCACAAUUGCAUGGCAAAGGCAGAGAGGCAAGUAUAACAUGCAAAGUGAACACGAUAGUAUGGGCAUAAGGUGACAAGUGGCAAAUAGCCCAUAGCCAUGUGAGAGCCAAGUAGAAGAGAUGCGCGUAGUCCUUGUGCGAAGGGAACGGUGUUAAGGAUAGUACACGGGAUCCCAAGCCAUCGUUGCUCUCAAGAGCUCGUUUCAUCAACUCAUGGGAUUGUGAGGUUGACGAGUGUUCAUAAGUACCUACACAAAACAAAGGCAAAGUAAAAAUUGUGUGUGCAUGGUAUAUGUACACAUCAUCCGUCAUGAUGCACACGUGCUUGUGUUGGUUAGCACAAAAUAUCCAAUGCUCAAAUAAAUGAGAUGCAUGAUAUAGAAACAUGUCAUCCAUCAUGAUAGGUUUGUUAUUUUGUAUAGCAUAACAGAGAUUCAAAUUGUGUAAUGCAUCACGAGAAAUAUGUAGAGCAUUGUUAUUCAUGGAAUGCAUAUGGUGCACACAAUUAUGGGAAUCAUGCAAGGUAUGGAAUGCAUCAACAUCUCCUAAUAUGUAUGAGGAAACUAUGGGGGUCUCCUCAUGAGCAUUAGUGGAAACAUCACGUGGAGAAUAUUGACAACGUCCAAAACAAUGCAUAUUUGGAACAAUGUGAUCAUGGCAUGGCAUAGUAGAUGAAUUGCGCAAAGCAUGUAAAGGAAGCAUGGAAAUAUCAUCACAUGAAAAACAAAAGCCAAUGACCAUCAUCUCGUCAUCUAUGCCAUAAGUGCAAAUAGGAUUUAUUUUAAUGGGGCAUGCAUAGUUACUAUGUUGAGAUUGAAAUGAUGCAAUAUGGGAGAUCUCACUCAUAGCAUAUGACAAGUUUGGCUUGUCAAACAUGAUGUGACCAAAAGAAUUUUCACAUGAUAUCCUAUGGAGCAUACCAUCAUAAUUAGGCAAUUCAACAUUCUCAUCAUCAUAUUCAUCAUAAACGGGUGGCAUGUCGAAACAAGACAUAGUAUGUGAUGAAUCCAUAGGGUGAUCAACAUCAUGGGAGCAAUCGAUGUCAAGAGAGUCAACUAGUGGGACAAGAGAAGCACCAUCACCUAUGUUACCUUUGGAGCGUCGCUCAUGUGUUGUAGGUCAGGUGUCGAAGAUCCACUCGUUGUCAUCUUCAUCUUGAUGGGACCAUGUGGGGGGUGCAUCAUCGUCCACCAUGGCCAUCGUCGUCUCCAUUGGAGGGAUGGAUGUCGGUGUCCAAACCGGCGGAUCUCGGGUAGGGGGUGCCGAACUGUGCAUCUAAGGCUAAUGGUAACAGGAGGCAGGGGACACAAUGUUUACCCAGGUUCGGGCCCUCUCUAUGGAGGUAAUACCCUACUUCAUGCUUGAUUGAUCUUGAUGAUAUGAGUAUUACAAGAGUUGAUCUACCACGAGAUCGUAGAGGCUAAACCCUAGAAGCUAGCCUAUGAUUCUGAUUGUUGUUGUCCUACGAACUAAACCCUCCGGUUUAUAUAGACACCGGAGGGGUCUAGGGUUACACAGAGUCGGUUACAGAGAAGGAAAUCUACAUAUCCGAAUUGCCAAGCUUGCCUUCCAUGCAAAGGAGAGUCCCACCCAGACACGGGACGAAGUCUUCAAUCUUGUAUCUUCAUAGUCCAACAGUCCGGCAUAAGCAUAUAGUCCGGCUAUCCGAGGACCCCCUAAUCCAGGACUCCCUCGGUAGCCCCUGAACUUGGCUUCAAUGACGACGAGUGAUGACCCACAAGUGUAGGGGAUCUAUCAUAGUCCUUUCGAUAAGUAAGAGUGUCGAACCCAACGAGGAGCAGAAGGAAAUGAUAAGCAGUUUUCAGUAAGGUUUUCUCUGCAAGCACUGAAAUAGUAGGUGAUAGAUAGUUUUGUGAUAAGACAAGUAGUAACGAGCAAAAAGUAAAUAAAGUUAAUAAGGUGCAGCAAGGUGGCCCAAUCCUUUAUGUAGCAAAGGAUAAGCCUGGAUAAAUUCUAAUAAUAUUGAAGGAGCUCCCGAGGACACAUUGGGAAUUAUCGUCAAGCUAGUUUUCAUCACGUUCAUAUGAUUCGCGUUCGGUACUUUGAUAAUUUGAUAUGUGGGGGCACCGGCACUUGGGUACUUCCCUAACUUGGACAAGCAUCCCACUUAUGAUCAACCCCUAUUGCAAGCAUCCACAACUACAAAAAGGAGUAUUAAGGUAAACCUAACCACAACAUUAAACAUAUGGGCCCAUAUGAACCCCUAACGAAGCAACGCAUAAACUAGGGUUUAAGCUUAUGUCACUCUAGCAACCCUUCAUCUACUUAUUACUUCCCUAUGCCUUCCUCUAGGCCCAAAUAAUGGUGAAGUGUCAUAUAGUCGACGUUCACAUAACACCACUAGAGGAAAGACAACAUACAUCUCAUCAAAAUAUCGAACGAAUACCAAAUUCACAUGACUACUAAUAGCAAGACUUCACCCAUGUCCUCAGGAACUAAAGUAACUACUCACAAAGCAUAAUCAUGUUCAUAAUCAGAGGUGUAAUAAUAUGCAUUAAGGAUCUAAACAUAUAAUCUUCCACCAAGUAAACCAAUAAGUAUUAACUACAAGGAGUAAUCAACACUACUAGCAACCCACAGGUACCAAUUUGUGGUUUUGGAUACAAGAUUGGAUACAAGAGAUGAACUAGGGUUUGAGAGGAGAUGGUGCUGGUGAAGAUGUUGAUGGAGAUUAAUCCCCUCCCGAUGAGAGGAUCAUUGGUGAUGAUUUCCCCCUCCCGAAGGGAAGUGUCCCCGGCAUAACAGCUCCGCCAGAGCCCUAGAUUGAUUCCGCCAAGGUUCCGCCUCGUGGCGGUGGAGUUUCGUCCCGUAAGCUUGCCCACGAGUUUUUCCAGUGUAAAAGCAAUGAUAUAGCAGAAGAUGGAUGCCGGAGGCCCACCAGGGGGCCCAGGAGAUAGGGGGCGCGCCCUGCAGGGGGGGGGGGCGCCCCUGUCUCCUGGACAGGGUGUGGGGCCCCUGGCCUAUUUCUUUCUCUCAUAAAUUCUUAAUAAAUCCAAAAAGUUGUUUCGUGGAGUUUUAGGACUUUUGUAGUUGUGCAGAAUAGGUUUCCAAUGUUUGCUCCUUUUCCAGCCAGAAUUCCAGCUGCCGGCAUUCCCCCUCUUCAUGGUAAACCUUGUAAAAUAAGAGAGAAUAGCCAUAAAUAUUGAGAUAUAAAGUGUAAUGACAGCCCAUAAUGCAAUAAAUAUUGAUAUAAAAGCAUGAUGCAAAAUGGACGUAUCAACUCCCCCAAGCUCAGACCUCGCUUGUCCUCAAGCGGAAACCGAAAUCGAGAAAUAUGUCCACAUGUUUAGAGAUAGAGGUGUCGAUAAAAAUAAAAUAUGGACAUGAGGGCAUCAUGAUCAUUCUAAUAACAGCAACAUAUAUAGAUUUUGUCAUAUGAUUUCUUAUGCUCAAGUAAUAAGCAAUUCACAAUGUCAAGUAUAGUUCAUAAACUUCAUUGGGAACUAACAAACUAUAAUCUCAGUCAUUGAAGCAAUUGCAAUUUAUCGUAACAUCAGAAAGAGUCAAUAAUAGAGCUUUUCAGCAAGCUCACAUACUCAACUAUCUCGUAGUCUCCAAUAAUUGUUAACACUCACUCAAUACUUGUGGUUAUAGAGUUUCAGACGGACACUGAGAAAGAUAGGGGCUUAUUGUGUUGCCUCCCAAUGUAUUCACCUUUAAGUGAUGUCAACAAUAAUAGCCUAUGCCAACUUACAUCCAAUUGGAUAUAUGUAUCAUGAUCUUUCAAACAUGAGGAGCUUGCCAAAGGAUAAAAUGAAAAAGUGGAAAGGUGAGAAUCACCUUGACCCAAGCAUAAAGUAAAAACAUAAAGUAAAAGAUAGGCCCUUCGCAGAGGGAAGCAGAGGUUGUCAUGCGCGUUUAGAGUUGAUGCAUGAAAUCUUAAUGCAAAAGAACGUCACUCUAUAUUGCCCCUUGUAUGUGGACCUUUAUUAUGCAAUCUGUCGCUUUUAUUACUUCCACAACAAGUUCGUACAAAGCUUAUUUUCUCUGCACUAAUAAGUCAUACAUAUUUAGAGAGCAAUUUUUAUUGCUUGCACCGAUGACAAGUUACUUGAAGGAUCUUACUCAAUCCAUAGGUAGGUAUGGUGGACUCUCAUGGAAAAACUGGGUUUGAGGAUAUUUGGAAGCACAAGUAGUAUCUCUACUUGGUGCAAGGAAUUUUGGCUAGCAAGAGGGGGAAAGGCAAGCUCAACAUGUUUGGAAGGUAAUGACAAUAUACUUUAACUGAGAUGUCGGAAAACAUAAACCAUUACAUUGUCUUCCUUGUCCAACAUCAACUCUUUUAGCAUGUCAUACUUAAUGAGUGCUUCACAAUCAUAAAAGAUGUCCAAGAUACUAUAUCUAUAUGUGAACCCCUAUUUCCUUAUCACUUCCUAUUAAUUGCAACGAUGACCAAGGCUACGUUCAUCAACUCUCAACAAUUUUUAUGCCUCAUACUUUCUAUGUGUGAAGUUAUCACUAUCCAUAAGAUCAAUAUGAACUCUUUUGUUCUUUCUACUUUCUCAAGAUCAUAGCAACAUAGCAAAGCCCUUGACUCAACACUAAUCUUUAUUAUAAAUGGCACAUGGACUCGCUUACACAAAGAGAUCACAAAGAAAAACUCAAAACUACUUGAUAUCAAAACUUCAAACUACUAGAUCAAGAUACUACUAAAAGGAUCGAACUAAAUAAAGCGGUAAAGAUAGGAGUGUGAUGGUGAUACGAUACCGGGGCACCUCCCCCAAGCUUGGCGGUUGCCAAGGGGAGUGCCCAUACCCAUGUAAUUAUUUCUUCGAAGGUGAUGAAGGGGGAAUUGUUGCAUUUUUCUUCUCUAGCUUGCGUCUGAGGCUAAAAUUUUCCUCCCUCAGAUCUUCAUUCUCGAGCUCAAGUUUCAUUAUCUUUUUGCAUAGUGCUGCCUUGCUGUCCUGCAAAAAUGUGGUGGGAUAGAUUGGACCUUAGUGAGGCUUGACUUAUUGAACUCCACAUGCAUAUCACCAGGUUGAGGUAGUGGAUCGUCCUCUUCAUCGGAGCUUGUCUCCUCCUUCCUCUUUGGAUCAUAGUCUUCUUCUUCCUCUGUGGUCCAGCCAUAAUGUUCCACAUCCCCAUAUACUUUUGGGUUUGCAAUAUAAUCAGCCAUGUAGCUCUCUCCCUCCGAAUCUUGGGACGACAUCUUGUUCCAAAUCUGCAACAGGAACAACUCGAAACGAAAACAGAGGAUAUUUGCGUGAUAUGGUGGUCAAAACCUUCGGGAGUAUAUAUAAUGAUUUUUUACCGACCAAAAUACGUAACAUACAAGAAAACGGAGUCCGGGAGGCACACGAGGUGCCCACGAGACAGGGGGGCGCGCCCUACAGGGGGGGUGCGCCCUCCUCUCUCGUGGGAGCCUCGUGUCCCUUUCAGACUACUUCUUUCUUCCUAAAAUUCUUAAAUAAUCCAAAACUGAUAAAAAUUGCCAUUAGAGUUGUUUUGGAGUCGGUAUACUUACCGUACCACGUACCUAUGCCUUUUUGGAGUCUGGAAUGUUCUGGAAAGUGUCUCUUAUGUAUUCCUCUGGGGUUAUGGUUUCAAUAAUAUUAGUUUCAACAUUGAUAGGAUUACCUGAAAUAUAAUGCUUAAUUCUUUGACCAUUAACCACCCUCGGAUUUGUGCCUUCGAAGUUGUUAAUUUUUAUAGCACCGUAACGAUAGACCUCCUCGAUAACGUAGGGACCUUCCCAUUUUGAGAGAAGUUUUCCUGCAAAAAAUCUUAAACGAGAGUUGAAUAAUAACACAUAAUCUCCUACGUUAAACUCACGCUUUUGUAUCUUCUUAUCAUGCCAGCGUUUGACUUUUUCUUUGAAGAGCUUGGCAUUCUCAUACGCUUGGGCUCUCCAUUCAUCAAGUGAGCUAAUAUAAAACAACCUCUUCUCACCGGCAAGUUUGAAGUCAUAAUAGAGCUCUUUAAUAGCCCAAUAUGCUUUAUGUUCAAGUUCAAGAGGUAAAUGACAUGCUUUUCCAUAAACCAUCUUAUAUGGAGACAUACCCAUAGGAUUUUUGCAUGCAGUUCUAUAGGCCCAUAAUGCAUCAUCAAGUUUUUUGGACCAAUUCUUUCUAGAUCUAUUCACAGCCUUUUGCAAAAUUAAUUUGAGCUCUCUAUUGCUCAACUCUACUUGACCACUAGACUGCGGGUGAUAAGGAGAUGCGAUUCUAUGAUUGACAUCAUACUUAGCAAGCAUCUUACGGAAAGCACCAUGAAUAAAGUGUGAACCACCAUCAGUCAUAAGAUAUCUAGGGACUCCAAACCUCGGAAAAAUAACUUCUUUAAGCAUUUUAAUAGAAGUGUUAUGAUCAGCACUACUAGUUGGAAUAGCUUCUAACCACUUAGUAACAUAAUAAACAACAACUAAAAUAUGUGUAUAACCAUUGGAGGCAGGAAAAGGUCCCAUAUAAUCAAAGCCCCAAACAUCAAAUGGUUCAAUAACAAGAGAAUAAUUCAUAGGCAUUUCUUGACGUCUGCUAAUGUUACCUAUUCUUUGACAUUCAUCACAAGAUAAGACAAACUUACGAGCAUCUUUGAAGAGAGUAGGCCAAUAAAAACCAGAUUGUAGUACCUUGUGUGCAAUUCUAUCUCCCGCGUGGUGUCCUCCAUAAGAUUCAGAGUGACACUUGCGUAGGAUUUGUUCCUGUUCAUGCUCAGGCACACAACGUCUAAUAAUACAAUCUACUCCUUCUUUAUAAAGGUGUGGAUCAUCCCAGAAGUAAUGUCUUAAAUCAUAAAAGAACUUUUUCUUUUGCUGGUAUGUGAAACUAGGUGGUAUAUAUUUAGCAACAAUGUAAUUAGCAUAAUCAGCAUACCAAGGAGCAGUGCGAGAAGCAUUGACAACCGCUAAUUGUUCAUAAGGAAAACUAUCAUUAAUAGGCAGUGGGUCAUCAAGAACAUUCUCUAACCUAGACAAGUUAUCUGCAACUGGGUUCUCAGCUCCCUUUCUAUCAAUAAUAUGCAAGUCAAAUUCUUGGAGCAAGAGAACCCAUCUAAUGAGUCUAGGCUUAGCAUCUUUCUUUUCCAUGAGAUAUUUAAUAGCAGCAUGAUCAGUGUGAAUAGUAACUUUGGAAUCAACAAUAUAAGGUCUAAACUUAUCACAUGCAAACACAACUGCUAAGAACUCUUUUUAGUAGUAGCAUAAUUUCUUUGGGCAGUAUCAAGAGUCUUACUAGCAUACUGGAUAAUAUUCAAUUUCUUAUCGACUAUUUGCCCUAAAACAUCACCUACAACAUAAUCACUAGCAUCGCACAUAAUUUCAAAAGGUAAGUUCCAAUCAGGUGGCUGAACAAUAGGCGCAGUGAUCAAAGCUUUCUUAAGUGUUUCAAAUGCUUCUACACAAUCAUCAUCAAAGACAAAAGGAAUAUAUUUUUGCAAUAAAUUAGUCAGAGGCCUAGAGAUUUUAGAAAAGUCCUUAAUGAACCUCAUAUAAAAACCGGCAUGAUCGAGAAAACUUCUUAUACCUUUUAUGUCCUUGGGACAUGGCAUUUUUUCAAUAGCAUCAACUUUGGCUUUAUCAACUUCAAUACCUCUCUCGGAGAUCUUGUGCCCCAAGACAAUGCCUUCAUUAACCAUAAAGUGACACUUUUCCCAAUUCAGGACAAGACUAGUGUCUUCGCAUCUCUGCAAAACUCGAUCAAGGUUGCUCAAACAAUCAUCAAAAGAGGAUCCAUAGACGGAGAAGUCAUCCAUGAAUACCUCACAAAUCUUUUCACAAAAAUCAGAAAAUAUAGCCAUCAUGCAUCUUUGAAAGGUAGCAGGUGCAUUACAUAAACCAAAAGGCAUACAUCUAUAAGCAAAAGUACCAAAAGGACAAGUAAAAGUAGUUUUAGAUUGAUCCUGCGCGGACACAGGUAUUUGAGAGAAACCAGAAUAACCAUCUAGAAAGCAAAAAUGUGUGUGUUUGGAUAGCCUUUCUAGCAUUUGAUCAAUAAAAGGUAAAGGGUAAUGAUCUUUCUUAGUGGCUUUAUUUAACUUAUGAAAAUCAAUUACCAUCCUAUAGCCUGUAAUAAUUCUUUGCGGGAUCAAUUCAUCUUUAUCAUUAGGAACAACGGUAAUACCUCCCUUUUUAGGGACACAAUGGACAGGGCUUACCCAUUCACUAUCAGCAACGGGAUAAAUAAUACCUGCCUCAAGGAGUUUUAGAAUCUCCUUUCUUACCACUUCCUUCAUUUUGGGGUUUAAUCGUCUUUGAGGAUCUCUAACUGGUUUGGCAUCUUUCUCCACUAAAAUUUUGUUCUGACAUAAUGUGGGACUAAUGCCCUUAAGAUCAUCCAGAGUAUAUCCAAUAGCAGCUCGGUGCUUCUUCAGAGUUUUGAAUAAUCUUUCUUCUUCUUUCUCUGAAAGGUUAGCACUAAUAAUAACAUGAUAUAUUUCUUUUUCAUCAAGAUAAGCAUACUUGAGAUUAUCAGGUAAGGGUUUGAGUUCGAACACGGGAUCGCCCUUGGGUGGAGGGGGAUCCCCAAGAAUUUCAACGAGAAGGUUAUGUUUUAGAAUAGGUUCUUGUUUAAGGAACACUUCAUCUAUUUCUUCCCUUUCCUUCAUAAACAUAUCAUUUUCAUGGUCUAACAAAUAUUGUUCUAACAGAUCAGUUGGGGGAACAACAAUGGAAGCAAGACCAAUAAUUUCAUCCUUACUAGGUGGUUCCCUUUCACGAGGUUGUCUACUAAACUUAGCAAAAUUAAACUCAUGAGACAUACCAUCUAUGCCAAUAGUGACAAUAUUCUUUUCACAAUUAAUCUUAGCACUAGCAGUAUUCAAAAAGGGUCUACCAAAAAUAAUGGGACAAAAAUUAUCUUGUGGGGAAGCAAGAACAAGGAAAUCAGUAGGGUAUUUAAUCUUUCCACACAAGACUUCAACAUAUCUAACAAUCCCAAUAGGUUUAAUGGUGUCCCUAUUAGCAAGCUUAAUAGUAACAUCAAUGUCUUCUAAUUCAACAGGUGCAAUAUCGUGCAUAAUUUCUUUAUAAAGAUCAUAAGGUAUCGCAUUAGCACUAGCGCCCAUAUCACAUAAGCCAUGAUAACAAUGAUAUCCUAUUUUUAAUAGAAAUAACAGGCGUGCCUACAACAGGUCUACAUGUCUUAGUAUCGGGUCUAGCAAUAUUAGCAGUUUCACCCACGAAAGAGAUAACAUGCCCAUCUAAGUCUUCAUCCAAGAGAUCUUUAAUCAUAGCAAUACUAGGUUCAACAUUAAUUUGCUCAGGAGGUGUAUAAGUCCUAGUAUUACUCUUACGAACAACAGUCGAAGCUUUAACAUGAUCUUUUAUCCUAAUAGGAAAAGGAGGUUUUUCUACAUAAGCAGUAGGAAUAAUAGGAUCACUAUAUGUAAUAGUCUUUUCUUCGACUGUAAUAGGUGCAACUACUUUCACUUCAACAGGAGGAUUAUAUUUAAACCACUUCUCUUUGGGGAGAUCAACGUGAGUAGCAAAAGUUUCACAAAAAGUAGCUACUAUCUCAGAGUCAAGUCCAUACUUAGAGCUAAAUCCACAGAAAGCAUCGGUAUCCAUAAAAGAUUUAACACAAUUGAACUUAGGUGUCAUACCUGACUCCUUACCAUCGUCGGAACCCCAAUCUUCAGAGUUGGGUUUAAUUCUUUCCAAUAAAUCCCAUUUGAAGUCAAUAGUCUUCAGCAUAUAGGAACCAGCACAGGAAGUAUCGAGCAGGUUGCGAUUAUCAAGAGAAAGCCGAGCAUAAAAAUUCUGAAUAAUGAUUUCCCAAGAGAGCUCAAGAUUGGGGCAUGAAUAUAACAUGGAUUUAAGCCUCCCCCAAGCUUGAGCGAUGCUUUCUCCUUCGUGAGGCCAAAAAUUAUAUAUGUAAUUACGAUCACGAUGAACAAGAUGCAUAGGGUAGAACUUCUGGUGAAAUUUCAACUUCAGUCGCUUAUAAUUCCAAAAUCUCGUAUCAUCACAUAGCCUAUACCAUGUCAUUGCAUCUCCCUUCAAAUAUAAAGGGAAGACCUUCCUUUUGAGAACAUCAUCGGGGAUACCUGCAGGCUUGAAUAGUCCACAAACUUCAUCCACAAAGAUAAGGUGUAAGUCGGGAUGCAAAGUUCCGUCUCCUGCAAAAGGAUUAGCUAGCAGUUUUUCUAUCAUACCCGAAGGAAUCUCAAAGUGAAUAUUUUCAUAAGGUUCAGUAGCUUGAGGAGCAUCUCUUUGCUCUUCUGGUUGGGGUGAAUAUACCCCAAACAAGCCCCUCAAAGGAUUAGUUUCCAUAGUGACAAGUAACAGAAAAUUUCAGCACACUAAAUAAAUGUUUCCUUACCAAGUUCCACUCACCAAAAGCGCUACACUCCCCGGCAACGGCGCCAGAAAAGAGUCUUGAUGACCCACAAGUGUAGGGGAUCUAUCUAGUCCUUUCGAUAAGUAAGAGUGUCGAACCCAACGAGGAGCAGAAGGAAAUGAUAAGCGGUUUUCAGUAAGGUUUUCUCUGCAAGCACUGAAAUAGUAGGUGAUAGAUAGUUUUGUGAUAAGACAAAUAGUAACGAGAAAAAAGUAAAUAAAGUAAAUAAGGUGCAGCAAGGUGGCCCAAUCCUUUAUGUAGCAAAGGAUAAGCUUGGAAAAAUUCUAAUAAUAAUAAAGGAGCUCCCGAGGACACAUUGGGAAUUGUCGUCAAGCUAGUUUUCAUCACGUUCAUAUGAUUCACGUUCGGUACUUUGAUAAUUUGAUAUGUGGGUGGACUGGCACUUGGGUACUGCCCUAACUUGGACAAGCAUCCCACUUAUGAUUAACCCCUAUUGCAAGCAUCCGCAACUACAAAAAGGAGUAUUAAGGUAAACCUAACCACAACAUUAAACAUAUGGGCCCAUAUGAACCCCUAACGAAGCAACACAUAGACUAGGGUUUAAGCUUAUGUCACUCUAGCAACCCAUCAUCUACUUAUUACUUCCCUAUGCCUUCCUCUAGGCCCAAAUAAUGGUGAAGUGUCAUGUAGUCGACGUUCACAUAACACCACUAGAGGAAAGACAACAUACAUCUCAUCAAAAUAUCGAACGAAUACCAAAUUCACAUGACUACUAAUAGCAAGACUUCACCCAUGUCCUCAGGAACUAAAGUAACUACUCACAAAGCAUAAUCAUGUUCAUAAUCAGAGGUGUAAUAAUAUGCAUUAAGGAUCUAAACAUAUAAUCUUCCACCAAGUAAACCAAUAAGUAUCAACUACAAGGAGUAAUCAACACUACUAGCAACCCACAGGUACCAAUUUGUGGUUUUGGAUACAAGAUUGGAUACAAGAGAUGAACUAGGGUUUGAGAGGAGAUGGUGCUGGUGAAGAUGUUGAUGGAGAUUGACCCCCUCCCGAUGAGAGGAUCGUUGGUGAUGACGUUGGUGAUGAUUUCCCCCUCCCGGAGGGAAGUGUCCCCUGCAGAACAGCUCCGCCAGAGCCCUAGAUUGAUUCCUCCAGGGUUCCGCCUCGUGGCGGCAGAUUUUCGUCCCGUAAGCUUGCCCACGAUUUUUUCCAGGGUAAAAACGAUGAUAUAGCAGAAGAUGGACGCCGGAGGCCCACCAGGGGGCCCAGGAGAUAGGGGCGCGCCCUGCAGGGGGGGGGGGCGCCCCCUGUCUCCUAGACAGGGUGUGGGCCCCCUGUCCUAUUUCUUUCGCUCAUAAAUUCUUAAUAAAUCCAAAAGGUUGUUUCGUCGAGUUUCAGGACUUUUGGAGUUGUGCAGAAUAGGUUUCCAAUGUUUGCUCAGCCAGAAUUCCAUCUGCCGGCAUUCCCCCUCUUCAUGGUAAACCUUGUAAAAUAAGAGAGAAUAGCCAUAAAUAUUGAGAUAUAAAGUGUAAUGACAACCCAUAAUGCAAUAAAUAUUCAUAUAAAAGCAUGAUGCAAAAUGGACGUAUCAAUGAGUCCGGCGCGCAGAUUGUCUUCGGCAUUGCAAUGCGGGUUCCUUCUCCGAAUACUCCAAAGUAGAUCUUGAGCACAAGAAUCGUGUCCGGCUCUGCAAAACAAAUUCCACAUACCAUUGUAGAGAGCACAAUAUUCCACGAGUCUAAUCUGCUGACAACUUUCCCCUAGCGUGACAUCAUGCCACGGCCCGGUUAUUAUUCAAACCGUUUUCCCAACCUGCCACUACACGUAUUGCGAGGCGGUUUUAUUGGCACGCCUUGUCGAAGCAGAGAUCAUGUCCCCCUUAUCACGGGAUUCUCAUCAAUACGGGCGUGGGUAACCCAACCGUGCCAUUAGUACGACUCCUUGGUUUAGGCAAGUUCCAAACGGCCGCGCGGAGGAUGCUUGACAUUCAUCCUCUUUAUAAAGAGGUCAGGACCUGUCCUUUUCUUUCCACGCCUGAUCCUUCCCUUCUCCCACCUUGAGUUCCAACACGCAUGGUUUAGUCCAAGCGCUCCGGACCUUCAACCAUGUCCGGACCCAACCUUCAAGGCUGGUGGAUGGCCUCUUCCGACACAGAGGAGGACAUCAAGAAGCUUAGGGAGGCUAGGUAUUUGACCGCCGAAAUCCUUCACAGGCUUCCUGCUCAAGGGCAGGUUAUUCCCACUCCCAAACCCAACAAGAGCGUCGUAUUCAUCUCCUACUUCCUCCGAGGGCUAGGCUUCAGUCCUCAUCCCUUUGUUAGAGGGCUCAUGUUCUAUUACGGGCUAGACUUUCACGAUCUAUCUCCAUAUUCCUUCCUUCACAUCUCGAUGUCCAUCGUUGUGUGUGAGGCCUUCCUCCGCAUACCCCACACUUCAGCUUAUGGCUCAAGACCUUCAAUGUGAAGCCGAAGAUGAUCAGCGGGCAGCACGCAGAGUGCGGAGGUGCUAUAAUAAGCAAAGGCGUCAAUGCUUUAUGGCCUAAGGGUUCCUUCCCGGAAGUUUCCGACCUAUGGCAACGGGAGUGGUUUUAUAUCACAGCACCCCGAGCUAGAAAGUGGGCGGCCGCCCCAGCCUUCCGCUCCGCUCCUCCGCCACAGCUUGCAUCAUGGGUCAACAAGGGGCUGGAUGGGGAUCGGUUGAUGACGUGCGGACAUUGCAAAGCCGCAUUCAGGAUCUCAUCAAAAAGGACACCAAUCUUGUCAAGGUAAUCCAAGUAAUGUUAGUUCGUCGGGUCCUGCCAUGCCAACGUCAACCUCUCCGUAUGUGGGAGUUCAACCCGGAAGGACCGUGAACUGUUCAACACUUCUUCGGUGUGACGCUCGAAGGGAUGUAUCAAUUAUUCUUCGGAUCAUGAAUAAAGUUUCCGGACACAACAAAGGAUGCAGGCCUCAACUACAACCGUCCAGACACCCAGGUAAGUAACUCCGCGACCGAACAUGCUGUCAUUAUAUUUGUCACAACAUUAUUCUGAAAAACCACCCUCGGCCAGGACUGGAUAAGAAAGGCGGAGAUGAUUAGGUGUUCGACCCCUCUUCCCGAAGAUUCGCCGGAUCAUGUACUAACCAGGAUGCUGGCUCACGCACCUUAUCAAGUGCCAUCAGGGGAGGACAAGGAGAGGAAUGGGAAAGCCAAAACCGGACUUCAUGCUGGAGGUACAUUACACAUCCUAACUGGGGAAAUUAGUACCCCCGUGUCGGAGGAUGAACGGGGAGGAGAAUCUAGCAUCCCCUCUCCCCACGGGAAGAAAAGGACCGCCCCCGAAGACUUGGAAGCAGAGGUCUCCAAACGAGGGAAGAAAAGGAUCGCCCCUGAACACUUGGAAGCAGAGGUCUCCAAACGAGGGAAGAAACCUUCACCAGGGGGCCCUGCCCCGGAGGGCAGCAUUGCCGCACAACGCCCAUAGGGGGGGCAGCCGUUAACCGAGCCGUAAGUGAACAAAGGUGCUUAGUAAGCGUACCCUGUUCUUUUCCUGAGAGUAACGACCGAGACAUAUGUUUUGCAGUUCGGCUUAUAGCCUCCCUCAACAAUGUUCGUCUUCAGGGGAUCUUCUUCCGGAGAUGAUGGAGAGUGAAAUUCCUCCUCCCUGAGGUGUCGUCCCGGAGGAUCUCUCCCGAUCAACAAAGACCAGAAGGUAACUCUUCGGCCGCCCGAAGUCCGGGGUUUUCAGCUCCUAGAGAGACCAACAGAAAAAGCCAUGGACUAUUCGAUAUACAACCGGACACAUUGACGGGUCUUCUAUAGCAAGCGGCUAUCUCAGAGGCACAUCGUACCUUAAUGGGUACAGUGGUUGAGAGGAUUUCGUCCAUAAAAAGCAGGUUGAAUGAAGCUUUUACGAGCCUGCUAAGAGGCUUUGAGGUACGCAAAGUGGUAUUUUUUUAUUGUACCAUAAACGCAAGGUGUACUUUGUAUAGAUGGUAGCCCCUGAGUCUCUGGUUGCCAUCUGGAAGGGGCGAGCAGAGGAUCAUAGUCUCAGGUAAUGAUGAUACCAAUUUUGUACACAGGCGGCUGCAGCUCUGGCGGCUGACUGGACUGCUGAAUUUGCCAAGCUGAAGCGGCAACUUGAUGUGGCGGAUGCAGAAAUCACGCUUGUGAACAAGCGGCUUGAUGAGGCACAGAGUAUGUAUAUUUGGGUGGUCAGCGAAUAUUAAUAAGAGCAUGAUGCUAGGAUUUAUGAUAUGCUUUGACUGCAGAUGGUGCUGCCGCCGUGGAGACCCUUCGGGCAGAGCUUGCCCGGGCCAAGGAGCAAGCCAGGAGUAGCAAUGCGGCUGCCGUGAAGGCAGCUGAUGAAUUAAAAGCCGAACAGGCUGCUCAUCGCCAAAGUGAGGAUAGAAUAGCCAACAUGGCUCUUGAGCUACAAAAUGCCGCUAGCCGAUAUGAGCUUCUCGAAAGGGAAACCAAGCGAAAACGGCUGACCUAGAAAAGGAUUUACAAGCAGCAAAGGAAACUCGCUCUAAGAUCAGAGCGGCUCGAGAGGAGCUCCGGCAAGCCGGUGAGAUCGUGGUUGGGAAGCCCUUUUUAUUGUGAACCAAAUUCGGCGAUCCAAAGUAUGCCCCUCUUGAUCAGUUGUGGAGUUCUGUAGACGCAUACUUGGAUUUGUCAAAGAGUGCUACUGAUGCGAUGCAGUAUUUCAAAGAUCGAGAAGAUCAUGAAACGGAAAGAUUGUUCUGGUCGCAAUUCAGUACUCCAAGGCAUCCGCUGUUGUUGAAUGAGCAAAUGGCCGAAUGGGCUGAGCUCCAUAGGUUAUCCGGGCUUGCCAUGAAGGCCGUCGUGGAUCACAUGUGGCCGAAGGAACCAAGUCCGGAUAGUUACUUUGGUUUGGUGCAAUGAUUUAUUCGUGUUGUGCCGCAUAUCGACGCUGUCAAGCAGUCGGCGUGCAUAGAGGGUGCGCGGAUGGCCUUUGCCCGUGUUAAGACAUAUUGGGCAAAGAUGGAGGCCACCGGUAUUGCAACCAGGGGUCCGCUCGGGGGCCAGGACUUGCCCGAGCACUAUUUUGAAGAAGUCUUAGAAGGUGCCCGUUUAAUAGAGGCUCAGUGCUCAAAGAAUACCAUGUUCGCAUGAUAUGUAUCUUAAUUGUAAAAACAAUACUUUUGGUAAUAAAGGCUAUAUUUAUACUUUUGCCCGUAAAGUAUUGUAGUGCCUCCUGUGCGGCCGCUUAUGCAUAUGUGAAUAUAACCUGAAAGUUUGCAGUCGUCGGCUUCAGCCCCUCGCAUAUAAUGUGGGGGUGUUCGACAAAGCACGUAAUCACACUUGAUCCAACGUCUUGGUCCGUUAAGGAGGUGGUAGCGCGGCGAAUGAGGCAAUCAAACUAUAUAGCUUUAACACUUUCACUUAGCCAUAGGAGUUUGACGAUGGGACUACUAUAUAGCCCCUGGUAUGUCCGCAUUUAUCCGAAUACGGUGCGUUUACAUACGUGACCGGGAAACCGGUCCUUCGUUAAUGCGGAGGAAUCGCGAAGAUUCCGCUGAGUCAUCGAGUGGUUGACCAGUCUCUCGCUUUAUCAUGACAGUCAGUUUUCAGCUUCUCUAUUGAGGUGCUCAUCCGGAUGAACCAGGGCACAAUCACAGUAGUUCUCCCUGUGCCACCUUAGCUGAUAGAGCGGAACAUAAGGUAGCAAAACAUGGGAGCCAGGCAAACCCAACUAUUGACCAAAGACAUGAUUCAGAGCUGAUGCAUAUAAGGCCAAACUCGCGACGCCGAACACUCCUGAAGGUAUUCAGACUUUAUAACAUAUACUAGGUUGAGUACCGCCCUCGAUAAUGAAUCCAGAAUUUCAAGGUACGUGCAUCAAUCCGGCGUGACGAAAGAGCGCCUGUGGUGAGAGCAUAGAUCUCAAAAACACACUGGUUGAUGUCUCUGUAACGUCUAUUUUAGAACGGUGAAUCAUCAGCUCGCCGGUAAUGCCGGUAUUCCCCUUGGUCAUUUUAAGUGCCAGGAGGGUGUGAGACAACAAGAGACAAUAAAAAAGGUUUACAGGGGGUCUUAAUCUAAAAAGAAACCUUUGGACGGGGCCCUGCUGCACGUCUGCGCCUUUGUCUCUGUUGUGUUGUAUCUUUGAAGGGUGUAGCACGAUGGUCACCUGUUAAAAAAAAGAAAAACCCAGGUGAAAGAUUCUGGUGUGACCAUGCGUAAAGUCGGUUAAUCUUAAUGAACCAUGAAAAUUCAAUCUCUUGAGUGUAAAUAGGGUCCGGCCGAACUAUGGACCUUUUACAUGCAGGUAGCCCCCAACACCACAUAUGGGGACAUAGCCGUUAAUCAAGCUCAGGUUUAUCUGGGCUGCUACAACUAGUGGUGCGCCGAACACGUCUAGCCAUGUCCGUGGUCUCGAAGACCAAUCGGUUACUCGGGUUGGAGAGGCCGUUCAGUGGUUCGGUUGCUAGAGCUGCCACGUAGUCUUCCGCACAAAGAGAACGCUCUGUGUUUACGCUGGUAGUGAUGAUGCCGCUGAGGGAGUCCUGGAUAAGGGGGUAUCCGGACAACCGGACUAUAUACUUUGGUCAGACUGUUGGACUAUGAAGAUACAAGAUUGAAGACUUCGUCCCGUGUCCGGAUGGGACUCUCCUUUGCGUGGAAGGCAAACUUGGUGAUCUGGAUUAUAGAUCUCCUUCUCUGUAACCGACUCUGUGUAACCCUAGCCCCCUCCGGUGUCUAUAUAAACCAGAGGGUUUAGUCCGUAGGACAACAACAACAAUCAUACCAUAGGCUAGCUUCUAGGGUUUAGCCUCUAUGACCUCGUGGUAGAUCAACUCUUGUAAUACUCAUACCAUCAAGAUCAAUCAAGCAAGAAGUAGGGUAUUACCUCCAUUGAGAGGGCCCGAACCUGGGUAAACAUCGUGUCCCUAGUCUCCUGUUACCAUUAGCCUUAGACGCACAGUUUGGGACCCCCUACCCAAGAUCCGCCGGUUUUGACAUCGACAUUGGUGCUUUCAUUGAGAGUUCCUCUGUGUCGUCGCAAUAAGGCUCGAUGGCUCGCCUCGUUGUCAGGGACAACAUCACCUCUGGGGAGCACUGGCCCAAGGCCAAACUCUCCGGCUGGGCGGCUUUGUCAUGACCGUCUGAUCGACUGUCGCGCCGACGAUGACUUCUCAGGUCAUCAAAAACAGCCUCCACGCCCAUUCGGACAAUGUCGAACAGAUGGAUCCAAUGGAACUCGCUUCCUUUAAUGAGCUCUUGGAUUGCAUCGCCGCCCUGGGCGUCGCUAUGGACUAUGAUCGGAUCGGGCUUAAACCCGACCAAAGGGAGAUUUAUUCUCCGUCGGUCACCCACGAGAUCACGGUGGUGGAGGAGCAUCAUACGAACUCUCCCUCUAUUUUGAGGACGAACUAUGUCCGGAUUUUCGAGAUCUCUGAGCCGGACACCUGCUCGCGGGAGGACAUGACCCAAACCCCAAACUUAGGAUCGGGCGACGGGUCAAACAAAUUGGGCAACAUCCCGGUGCCCGAGCCGUUAAGCUCGGAAGCUUCUUUGCCCCUGGGUCUCAGAUCGGGUCAGGAUUCGGAUUCGAAAUCACCCACCCACCCAAUUUUAUUCAAUCUUCCGCAUAUUAGACAAGAGCCCCAAGAGACAGUACAUCGUUACUGGGCCAGAUUCCUCUUUGUGGUAAACAGGGUCAAGGACUAUCGUGAGGAAGACGCCAUCUCCCUCUUUUGCAAAAAUUGCAUGGACAAAGGGAUCAUCAACGCUAUAAGUUGCCGCGACAUAGUAUGCUUUGCCGACUUAGCGGCCAUAGUGCAGAAAUACUACGCGAUGGAAAGCGCUUGGAAAACCCAAACAAACUUCUAGGACAAUCCGUCUCUCACUAAACCCUUCGUCCGAACUAAAAGGGCAAACUCUCGUAAGUUACCCGAGUCAGUUACCAAAAAAAAA